rnacentral:lncRNA from 1 species
CCGAGUUCCCUACAACAAGGAUGGCGGUGACGGGCGCAGGGAGCGGGGCCCGGCUCUCCUUGCCUCGAGGCUCCUCUGAUUCCACUCGCGUGGCUGCGCGGCCCUGGCAGCGGCCUUCGUCCCGGGGGUGGGAGCUACACAGGGUUCCGCCCCGUCCUGGCGAGGACGCCUGAGGGGGCUCUGUGAUAAAGAAAUGGGGGCUCCGAGCAGUCAAGAAGAACAUGCCCCAAGUUAUUCGUCAGUGAGGCGGAAAUUGUGGUGUACUUGUUUUCUGUGGGUCAGGAGAUCAGAAAUGGUUCUAUUUCAAGGACUCUCACAGGGCUGCAAUCAAGAUGUUGGCAUGGCUGGGGUCUCAUCUGAAGGCUGGACUGGAGAAGAAUCUACUUCCAAACUUAUGUGGUAGUUGGAAGAAUUUAGUUCCUCAAGGCCGCUAAACUGAUGGCCUGUGUUCCUUGCCUAUGGGAUGGUAGCUUGCUUCAACAAAGUGUGCAAGCAGAGAAGACAGAGAGUCCGCUAGCAAGAUAGAAGCCACAAUCUCUUGUAAUCUAUCAUUUUUGCUGUAUUCUACUGGUUAAAAAUAACUCAUUAGGUUAGCCUACUGGCUCUCAAGGGGAAGAGAUUAUACAAAGGCAUGAAUUUCUGGAGGAGGGAAUGAGGGCAAAGAAUUCUGAGAAGUCUGUCUUCCACAAUCUGAAGAACUUCUAGAAAGUAGGAGGAAGCGAUAUUGCUUAGGGAUGGACAACUUGGCACUGGUUAUGUAUUUCAAGUGAGGUAACCUUGUUCCCAAGAAUAAAGAGAACCAGACGACUGUAAACAUUUCCCUAAACUGAAAUGCAGACUGUUGUAUGUUCCCCUGAAAUGAAUGGUGUAA